UCAGUGAGGCCCCAGGGGCUGGAGCGAGUGGACAUUCCUCCGGGCGCUUGGGAUUGGCAGACUCCUGCAACCCAGGGUAGCCACCCAGAGUGGCGCGAACUUCCCCGUGCUCAUAGUCCAGAGGAGCUGCCAGAGCUCCCCUCCAGCCCCGGCUGGGAUGAACCCAUGCGUCUGGACCCUGCGGAGGAUGACCCCAAGAUCCAGAACCACCUCAAACAAAUGAACAUUUAAAAGCAGCAGUCAAAGAACUGGCAGGUCAUUCCAGAUCCCUGUGACAGGCUGGGUGGCACAAGGAUGAAGUUACUGAUAGACCAGGCUGCCAUUGUUGAAGUCCACAGUGGUUUCUUUAACUCAGUCUGAUCCUGCACCGCCCUUACCAUGGAUUCCAAGAUCCCAAAGUGCUUGACCACCUUCUAUUGACAGUCACUUCGCCCGCCACUCGGAGCAGCAGGGAGCAAACAUCUAACAGCAACACUAUGCAAGAGCUCAGGUCAGAAAGCGAAUGCCACUGCCCCAGCCAAAUGCUCAGAGCCUCCUUUCUCUUGAACUAUGUCCAUCCUGCCUUAAUUAAGAGGUAAGGAAAAGAAGCAGAUCUGGGGAAAAUGAGGAACAGGUCAGUCGCCUGACACUGCACCUCUUGACUUCUCCAACCAUCCAAAUCAGUAGAUUUAGCUUGGGUGCAGCAAGAUGCUGCCCUGGAAUUAGACUUUCCUGAAAGACAUGAGAGAGGAGUAUUAUAGGUAUGCUCAGAGAGGUUUCUGGUGUGCGUAGAGCACUGCUUCAAGUGGUCAGCAGCCUGCCUUGUCUCACAUACUGAUGUGUGUAUGGGGUGUGUAUAGAGUUACAGAUGUGCUGAAAAUGCAUUCUUAAAAUGUGUUUGGGAGCAGUGCGGAAACUCAGUCCCCCCUAGACAAGGGAAUGUGGAUUUAUUUACCUGUCUGACUGGCUUCAUUGCAGGCAAUGAAAGUACAUUUACAUCUAAGGUAAACAAAGCCAUCAAGCUAAACAAUUGGGGGAGAAAACCCUUCAACAAUCACAUCAGCUGAUAAAAUCUGCCCCCUAGGAAGCCUUCCUGGUUCUUCAGGCAGAGACAACAGACGUGAGUAAUAUAAGGGGUGCAAAACGACAUUAGUUCCCCAUGAAUGUGGGGAUAGAAGGAACAACACUCUUCGAGCCUGUGAAAGUUGGAUCCCCUGGUGAGUUCGAAGGGCCAGGUAUGUUGGUAACUUCCUGUAAGAAAACUGCUUACGCAAUGACUGUAACUUGCUAAAAUAAAGUGUUAGUUACUAGAAAGUGUGUUUUGUUUUGU